rnacentral:rRNA from 1 species
UACGAAGGGGGCUAGCGUUGUUCGGAAUUACUGGGCGUAAAGCGCGUGUAGGCGGGUCCUUUAGUCCGGGGUGAAAUGCCAAGGCUCAACCUUGGAACUGCCUUUGAUACUGGAGACCUUGAGUCCGGGAGAGGUGAGUGGAAUUGCGAGUGUAGAGGUGAAAUUCGUAGAUAUUCGCAAGAACACCAGUGGCGAAGGCGGCUCACUGGCCCGGAACUGACGCUGAGAUGCGAAAGCGUGGGGAGCAAACAGG